GCUUUUUGUGCUCUGUAUUGGGAAGGCAGAUAAAAUGCCAGGUCUGGACUGCCUCUGGGGAUAACCUCACCCUGUGGGAUGUGAAUGAAUAGCAUCUUGCCUGGUAAAUCCACAGGAAUUGAUAAGGCGGGCGCAGUUCUCCCAAACAGGCCUUUUCUCUUUAAGCUCUAGCUGUGGUUUCUGCAGCAAUUUUGUUUUUGCCUUGAAAGAGGUGCUCUGGAUUAUCAGACCUCCAUGUAUGACAAUUUGUACCUGCAUGGAAUUGAAGACUCGGAGGCUGAAGAAUAAUGUGAUGUGUUACCCAAGAUGGUGUGAACAGAGCUUCAAGCCAAUGGAGAAGACUAGGCCUAAAUAGCUGACCUGGUGAAGUGACACAUAAAGCCACACCUGGAGUGCCACCUCCUCAGCAGUCUUUCUCAGUGCCAAUGCAUUUAUGGCUGUAAGUGUGGGGGGUUGUCCAGAUGGAAGCAGAGCUCUCGGAACAGGUCUGGUGGAUAGGCGUGGAAAGGCUUUUCUCAGAUGGCCAGCUGCAGUCCGAGAAUAUACAGGCACUAAAAGCUGAGUACGGCACUUUGGUUGGGGGUGGGGGUUGGGGAACCAUCCGCAUAUGUCCUACUGUUCUGUGCUGUUGAAAAUGUCUUUGUGGGGUGUGUGGGGGUUAACCUGUGAUAAGUGAUUAUUUUCAAUGUUUUCACACAGUAAGCUUGUAAAAGAUCAUCUUGCCUAGGGACUAUUUUAUUCCGAAUAAGAAUAAAGCAUUAUUAUACACUGUUAGCACCUCACAUCCCCACAGUAGGAGAGAGAUGUUGGUACUGUGAUGCAAGGCCUUUCUUAAGAGUUUGGUCCAAAAGUAGAUGUUAUGCUCCCAGUGCCCUAGAUUUUAGUUUGUAACCUCCGUGUUUCACAUACUCUAUGUAUGAAGAGAGAGGAAAAAGAAACAUGCCGAAACACACUUGAGUCAGGCAUUUUAGAUUCUUGAGUCCUGUGGAGCCUUUUUGGGCAAGUCCAUCUACUUCUGCUUUGGUGUCCAGGAGGGUAGUUAAAAAUCUGGAUUACAAGGAAGUGCAAAAGAUCAUUCAGUGCCCCACAGCGGGGCCCUGCUUCCGAAUAGGAGAUUUCACACAGAACGUCACCUUACUUCUUGUAUUACCUUGACAUAGAUGAUGGAGUGUGUGCUUCCAGAUGAACUCAUACCUAGCCCAGGCUGGUUCCAGUCGAUCAUGCACAUCGACUCUUCCUACAUUAGCUGCUAUGUAAGAGCUGCCUAUUCUACCUUCACCGUCCCCACUGUGUGUUAAUACAAGUUCUAGCAGCCAAGAUUUUUUUCAUGGACUGAGCCCCCCAUGUACACUAUACUAUGUGUUUUCAUCUGAUUUGCAGUAGAUUUCAUUAGACCUGCUCUUUAGUGUGUACAUGUAUUCAUAAAUGGAUUCAUUGUGUAUUUUGAUGUUUGUGGAAUUAUUCUGGAAAUAGAUUUAUUUUUUCAUUCAUUAGGUUUAUUACACAAACCGAGGGAUGUUCUUAUGGGGAUCCAUGGACGCAGCAGAGAAAGUUACCACAAACCUACCACCCAGAAAUAGUCACUGUUAAUAUAUUGCUACACACCCUUUCAGAUGAUCAAUCCACAUAUAUGUAAAUAGGUCAGUCUCAACCUGCUACUGUGUGUUGCAUCCUAUUCUGUUAAAUGCUGUUCUUACUUGAGAAAAUAUUGAGCAUACUAGGACUAGAACUGGCCUGCACAGGAGACGCUUUGCAAAAUUUAAAGCUCCUACAUGGACCUUCUGGAAUUGUGAGUAGCUUGAAAUACAGAUUCUUAGGGUAUAUUGUAAAGUGAUGCCGGGGUUAGUUGCACAUAGGAUUAAUAGUUCAUUUCUCUGACACAAUUGUUUCCAUUUCCAAAUGCUUAAAUUCUAAAGCAUUUAGAAAGAGAGACCUGAUCUUUUCCUGUGAAAAAGAUGAUCAGAUCAUCAUUCAGGGCAAUUUCCAGAGAGGAAAAUAUAGUCUUUAAGUGUUUUCAAUCAUAGAAAGGAAUCCUAAUAUAUUGAUUAAUACUGUUAGAAAUUUUAUGUAUGUAAAAUUACAGCAAAGGUAAAUUUUACAAACUUAAUAGGUAUGUAUAACAAUAUCUGAGUAUAUAUAUAAAAGCACAUAUUUAAAUUUACAUGUAGAUAUGCAUUAUAAGAAUAGCUUUGUGUUAAACUAUUUAUUUUCUAUAAGCUGUGGAAAUAUGUAUGUUUGUCUCAAUGUCUGUGCACCUCUGCAUGCAUGCGUACUGUUCACCCUCAUACCUUUACCUACAUUCAUAUACAGAUAUGUUCCAUGCAUCGCUAAUUGAUGGUUAAUGCUAAGUGGGAGAUUUCUACUGUGGAGCUUUUGGAGACGGAAAAUUAGCUGCUUUUGAUGUGAACAAAGAUACCCAAGAGAGUUGAAAGGCAAAGCAGCCACAAGAGAAUAAAGGAUUGCUCCUUGCAAAGAUAUAAUAAAGUUAUUUUAAAUAUGAAGAUAUAUCCUUGUGCUUGCUAGGGAGGCAGAUAAACUUCAGACAGAAGGAUUUAUAUGUUUAGGGGCCUUCAGAAGACACUUUAGGGAUUUAGGGAUUAGAUUUCUUUUGGAAACAAGAAGGCCAGAGGUCUCUAUGGUUUGGUGGAUCAGAGCAUCUCUUCUGGAGUCAAAAAGUCUUUCUGGACUAUUUAUAGAGAAUGAGGACUGAUCUGUAAGAGAAUCCAAGGACUGGAUGUUGGCAUCUCUGACCACAGAAGAAAACCAAAUGUUGCUCCUGGUUUGUGUAAGGAAUUUGACUGAGAAAAAUCAAGUUGUUUUACUCAGCUGAGCUAUGUUGGUGUUUGGCUAGGGUGUGUUAAGUAAAUAACAAACAGGGCUUUCUCUUCAAUCAGCAAUGAUGGUUUUCUAAAAUAUAGAUUGAAAUUUUUUCUAGAUAUAAUUGGCAUGGAGCCAAAGAGAGAAAUUCCUUGAAUCAAUCAGAUCCCAUGAAUUUGCUGUUCCAGCUUGUCAAUCUUGCUGCUUUCUUGUUAAUUUUCUAUUUUUGAGUCACAGAGGCAAGAAGUCGGAUCAAUCCUCGCCAGGUACUUCUGUGUCUCCUUUUCUGCUGCUAUUAUUAUUAUUAUUAGAUUAUGAUGAGUCAAUCCAGGAUUUUAGAAUAUGGCCCUGUAACUCCCUUUGUAUGUACUCAAUGGACAUUCCAUUAUUCUGUGGCGCAAGACAUUCUGUAUAAGGGUCAGCAAUAACCUUGAAAAAUCAUUAUUUUAGGGUGAAGGUGGGGAGGCUUCCCAUUGCCUUAGCUCUUCUCUUUCUAUGGGGUUCAGCUUGGACCUUAUUUCUUUGUCAACAGUUCUCCCAUUCUGGUCACUAUCUCCCCUUUACUGUCUCUUACCCAGGUGAACAAGGCCUCCUAAGGAGGACAAGAAGAUAUAACUGGACUGGUUAUCAUUGUUCAUUCUCUUCUCGUCCCUCUCCCACUAGUCCUUUAAAAUAAUCAUGAAGCCAUGAACUCAGAUAUCCAUGACGUUAAGUUAAAAAUUGUACCAAGGAAGCGCUACAGAUAUAGGCUCUGUGUUCUCAUCUACAUUGGCUGAUUUAGGGGCCUUUCAUGUGUUUGCAUCAGGCUCUGGCGGCUGUGAAAACAGCAACAGCUGUAACCUGCCACACUAGAAAAAAUACAUUCAUUGGGUGGAUCCCCGAGUUCUCACAGGAGGCUGGGGCACUGCUGUGUAAAGCUAGCACCCCGUCCUCAGAAAAACUUAAUGUGUAAAACCUAAGGGAGCUUACAGUUCAUAUAAAAUAAUGACAACUUUGAGCUUUUUAAGACUUUGAAGGGCGUGAGUCUAAGAUAAAACUGUGUGACUAUUUUUACAGCAUGUAUUGGUAUGCCAAAAGAAGGUAGCCCAGAUAGCUCAUGUGACAAUUUUUGAGAUCUAAAUAGACCAAUACUUGCUCUUGCUCUACAUUUUAUAUUCUUUUAUAACAUAACUGUAUAGUUUUAGUUAUAAAUAUUUUCCUCUCUUUUUAAAUGGUGCCACAUUAUCAGUACUUCCUGUGUCCUUUUUUUUCUUUUGUGUCUGUCAUGAGAAAUAUUGAAAAGUCUUAUAUUUAAAACAGGACACGGAGAUUGGCAACUGUUGAUUACUCAGGAGCGUAUCUGUGUAGUUUGUGAAAAAAAAAAAAAACAGUUCUCUUAUUUUGCCUUUCUUAUGCCUGUUAUUCCUUAAUCUCUCUUUUCUUUUUAGCCUGAGCAUCAUAUAGGAAAAAGUUUCUGACCUUCUAUGUUAUUACUCUAUUGGCAGCUUUGUUGAAAAGUUUGGUGAGUGAUAAGGUUGUAGUUGAAAUUGUUUCUAGAUCUUUUUAAAUCUCCAUAAAACUUAAAAAAUUUUGCCUUCUAUUGGGCAUAUGUAUCAGCCAGGAAAAUUUCUGUUUUACUUUUUGUACUUUGUAUUAUGAAAAAAUGUUAUAGUAUAAUAGUGUCAUGAUUAAAAGUGGAGACAGACCAGGCAUGGUGGCUCACACCUGUAAUCUCAGCACUUUAGGAGGCACAGAUGGGCAGAUCAGUUGAGCUCAGGAGUUUGAGACCAGUCUGGGCAACAUGGCAAAACCCCAUCUUUACAAAAAAAUAAAAAUAAAAAAAAUUAGUGGGGCGUGGUGGCGUGUACCUGUAGUCCUAGCUACUCAGGAAGCUGAGGCAGGAGGAUCACUUGGGCCCAGGAGGUUGAGGCUU
rnacentral:sRNA from 1 species